CCUACGGGAGGCAGCAGUGAGGAAUAUUGGUCAAUGGGCGAGAGCCUGAAUCAGCCAAGUCGCGUGAAGGAUGACGGCCCUACGGGUUGUAAACUUCUUUUGUCAGGGAGCAAUUGGGUCCACGCGUGGGCUUAGCGAGAGUACCUGACGAAAAAGCAUCGGCUAACUCCGGGCCAGCAGCCGCGGUAAUACGGAGGAUGCGAGCGUUAUCCGGAUUUAUUGGGUUUAAAGGGUGCGUAGGCGGAAUAUCAAGUCAGCGGUAAAAAUUCGGGGCUAAACCCCGUCGUGCCGUUGAAACUGAUGUUCUUGAGUGGGCGAGAGGUAUGCGGAAUGCGUGGUGUAGCGGUGAAAUGCGUAGAUAUCACGCAGAACUCCGGUGGCGAAGGCGGCAUACCGGCGCCCAACUGACGCUGAAGCACGAAAGCGUGGGUAGCGAACAGGAUUAGAUACCCUUGUAGUC
rnacentral:rRNA from 1 species